rfam:Staphylothermus marinus F1, complete genome.
CACGGGCCACGGGUAGGGCCCCGGAUAAAUCCGGGGCCAGAUGAACCGUGCCUACCCCUACAAGCCGCCGCCAACCCCCAUACCAACCAAUGAUCCCCGCCCCAUGGGGUCGGCGGUGGCGGAGCCCCCUCUGGAGAGAGGGGGUUAACCGCCUUAGCCGGGGGAACCUGGCUAGGCCCGGAAGGGAGCAACCUAACCUCGGCCGUCGACGUUCAUGGGUCACCGGGGCAGAGGCUUGGUAUGGAAGGGCUCUGGCGGAUUGGCUGUAGGGGUAGGCACGGGGCCGUGGCCCGUG